CCGGCGACCGGCGCACGGGUGAGUAACACGUAUGCAACCUGCCCUCUUCAGGGGGACAACCUUCCGAAAGGGAGGCUAAUCCCGCGUAUAUCGGUUUCGGGCAUCCGAGAUCGAGGAAAGAUUCAUCGGAAGAGGAUGGGCAUGCGGCGCAUUAGCUAGACGGCGGGUAACGGCCCACCGUGGCGACGAUGCGUAGGGGUUCUGAGAGGAAGGUCCCCCACACUGGUACUGAGACACGGACCAGACUCCUACGGGAGGCAGCAG
rnacentral:rRNA from 1 species